rnacentral:rRNA from 2 species
GAGUACGACCCACUGCUUAGUAUAUGCACGUGCUUCGGUGCGAGCAAUAUACAUUAAACUAUAGAGACCGCUGUUUCUUCUUUAAACCAGAGGAAGGAUACGGCAAUAACAGGUCUGUGAUGCCCUCAGAUGUUCCGGGCUGCACACGUGCUACAAUGAUCAUUGCACUGUGCAUCUAACCCAAUGUGCGUGGACGCCGCAUGCAUGUACUCCUUGUGGGUACACGCAUUGCUGAGCGACCACGCCGAACCUACUUCGAAAGUAAAAUUUCUCUGUGGGUAAUCCAUUAGAAGUAAUGACUCGCAUAGACCAUGGCACACCAAAUGUACGCGCAGGUCUACCCGGCUCGCCUUUGUGUGAGUGCAGUGCGUAGCUUGUUGUUUCGUACGUGCCACUCCGUAUUAAUUCGUACGUGGGGAUAGAUCAUUGUUUAAUUGUUGGUCUCGGUCUUAACUAGGAAUGCCUUGUACGGGUCUCUGGUUCAACAUACCACCCGGAAUACGUCCCUGCCCUUUGUACACACCGCCCGUCGCUCUUACCGAUGGAUUA